GACGAACGCUGGCGGCGCGCUUAACACAUGCAAGUCGAACGGAAAGGCCUGCUUUCCCUUGUGGAUUGCGGGUACUCGAGUGGCGAACGGGUGAGUAACACGUGAGUGAUCUGCCCCCAACUUGGGUAUAAGCCUGGGAAACUGGGUCUAAUUCCCGAUAGGACUGCAGGGUGGUGCCUGUGGUGGAAAACGAUUUUCUAGUGGUUGGGGAUGAGCUCGCGGCCUAUCAGCUUGUUGGUGGGGUAAUGGCCUACCAAGGCGGCGACGGGUAGCCGGCCUGAGAGGGUGGACGGCCACAUUGGGACUGGGAUACGGCCCAGACGCCUACGGGAGGCAGCAGUGGGGAAUAUUGCACAAUGGGCGGAAGCCUGAUGCAGCGACGCCGCGUGGGGGAUGACGGCCUUCGGGUUGUAAACUCCUUUCGACCGCGAGGAAGCCACCUGGUUGGAAGGGUGGUGACGGUAGUGGUAGAAGAAGCACCGGCUAACUACGUG
rnacentral:rRNA from 1 species